UAUAUUUUAUUAUUGCUUUGGUUUGCCCUUAUUUGGUGCUGGUUGAAAGGUUAAUAAGUUUCUUAGCCCUGGCUUUGAAUUGUGUUCCCUUAUGGAAUGGUCUCCCUUUUUCGAAUAAUUCGUUGAGCGCGCAAUUUAACCCGGAAUUUACUAUGGAUUCAUGCACUUAUACUUAGAGUAGUGUGUGGACACAAAACACAUAGCAUAAUGUAUGUCUUAUAAAUGCAGUAUUAAUUAUAGUUAUCCAAAAUUUGCGUAGGUAUUAUGUAGCUUCUUUCUUACAUUAGUCUAUAACU